UGGGAAUUAUCGGGAAUGACUGGGAAUUAUCAGGAAUGAUCAGGAAUGAUCGGGAAUGAUCAGGAAUUAUCGGGAAUGAUUUGGAAUGGUUGGGAAUGAUCAGGAAUGAUCGGGAAUGGGUGUGGGGCCGCUCCAAGGUGGAAGGGCUCCAAUCCCUCCGGAAUUCCCAAAAAAUAUUCCCAAAUGUCGCUGGGAUUCCCAAACUGGGCCCAGAUCCCUCUGGUAUUCCCCAAACUCGGCUCAAAUCCCUCAGGAGCGGAUCCCAGGGCUGGGAUCAGAUCCCAGGGCUGGGAUCAGAUCCCAGGAUUUGGGUCAGAUCCAUGGAUUUGGAUCAGAUCCCAGGAUUCCCAGUGGAUCCCUGGAUUAUGGAGUACUCAUGAAUAUUAAUGAGCGCUUAUGAAUAUUCACAACUCAGCCAAUCGCAGCCACACUCAGGGCCUGAACCCCUCCCAGCAUUCCCAAAUCCCCUCAAUCCCGGAAUUCCCGGCUCCCCCCGGCAGAGCCUCCUCCAGUUCCGCUUUAAUUCCAAGGACUUUUAUUAAUUUCACUUUAUUUCCAUUUUUAUUGUUUUUUAUUUCCUGCCCACACCCCGUGCCCAGGGAGGGGGAGGCACCAACCCCACCCCGAGCUGCUCCCGCUUUUCCCAAAAAAACCCCUGGAAAAGCCCCAGCGGGAAGGGGGGGACACAAAUUCCAGCCCCAUCCCUCCCUUUUCCCGGCGGGAAGCUCGGCUCGGGUUGUCCCGGUUUGGGAAUUCCAGAGGGUUUGGAGGCAGGAGCAGAGGAAGGAAAACAGUGCUGGGAACACCAGGGGAUCCCAGGGAAUGCCAGGGAAUAUCGGGAAUCUCCGAUGGAGCCGCGUUCCCAGCGCUCCCAGCCCGUCCAUCCCGGGGCUCCGCGCUGAUCCCUCUCCCAGCGAGGGUGUCCGGAAUUCCUGGAAUUCCUGGGAAUUCUGGGAAUGUUGUGGUCUCCAGAGGGGUCACUGCGUGUCCAGAUGGGAAUUCUGGGCUCUCCAGAGGGGUCAUUCCAUGUCUGGCCGGACACUCUGGGCUCUCCAGGGGGGUCACUCCGUGUCCGGCUGGGAAUUCUGGGAAUUCCAGGCUCUCCAGAGGGGUCACUGCAUGACCAGAUGGGAAUUCUGGGCUCUCCAGAGGGGUCACUCCAUGUCCGGCCGGACGCUCC
ensembl:lncRNA